rnacentral:rRNA from 1 species
AUUGAACGCUGGCGGCAUGCCUUACACAUGCAAGUCGAACGGUAACAGGGAGCUUGCUCCGCUGACGAGUGGCGAACGGGUGAGUAAUGUAUCGGAACGUACCAUUCAGUGGGGGAUAACGUAGCGAAAGUUACGCUAAUACCGCAUAUUCUGUGAGCAGGAAAGCAGGGGAUCGCAAGACCUUGCGCUGAUUGAGCGGCCGAUAUCAGAUUAGCUAGUUGGUGAGGUAAAGGCUCACCAAGGCGACGAUCUGUAGCGGGUCUGAGAGGAUGAUCCGCCACACUGGAACUGAGACACGGUCCAGACUCCUACGGGAGGCAGCAGUGGGGAAUUUUGGACAAUGGGGGCAACCCUGAUCCAGCCAUGCCGCGUGAGUGAAGAAGGCCUCGGUUGUAAGACUCUUCGUCCGGAGAAGCGAAGUGACGGUACCGUGCAGAAGAAGCACCGGCUAACUACGUGCCAGCAGCGCGGU